rnacentral:sRNA from 1 species
CGGACUUUGGUAACACCGUCAAAGCAUUGAGAAGCAAGAAGAAGCUUGGUUACUGUUUUGGAGUGAAAUAUGACUAGAUGUUUUGUGUAUCAUUGAGUAUAAGCACUAGAACCGCAACCGGAUCAUAAAACCCCAAGAAGUGUUUCCUUGUUAGAAAAUACAAAGCGGAACACACAUACGGACUUCGGCUACACCAUCAAAGCUU